UUUAAUUAUCCAUUAAUAUUGAUCAUGGUUUAUAAAAGCUAUUUUUGUCUAUCUUCAGUAUAUUCUCUUUGGAAUCUUAUAUCACUUUUGACGCAAUUGAAUGAAGUGAUUACAAUCUAAUUAUAUUUUCAAUGACAGGUAGAUGUUUUACUUGUUGCGAUGAUACUUUAUCAUCGAUUAAUUGUUCUUUUAUAUGUUAUCUACUUAAAGUAUAUAAUGCUGACAUCAUCAAGAGAUGAACAUGGUGAUGAAGUAUUCGACGAGACAUGGAAGACGAAAGCCAUAAAAGAUAUCGCAUUUUACAUAAGAAAUCAUAAGUUUAAUGAAUGGGAUCGAAGAUUUUACAGAAAUAAAACCAAUCGAAACACCUUUGGAUUUUAUACUAAAUUUCCGGAACCAAGUCUACGAUCUUUGCAUUGGGAAGUUCAUGAAAAUUGUUAUAACGAUUUCUAUAAAUGUAUUAGCUAUAUACAUAAAGUUAUUGAAGUGGCACCAUUCAAAAGAAGGGAUGAUACCGUAACAAUUUUAAACAAUAACUCAACUUUAGUAGAUCUCAAUUUGAUCAACAAAUUAGAUCAAGAUUGUAAAAAAAUAUUAUUUUAUGCAGAUAAAACAGGAUUGCCAUUUGAUGGACCACAAGAACGAUUCAUAUGGCGUGUAUCAGUUUCAUACUUUAUGUGCUGGUAUACAAUGCGGGGAAUAGCUGAUUUAUCUAUACUUGGCGAACCUUGCGAUAAUUUUGCAAAUUGUUUGGAUCCAAAGUUCGUGAAAAAUCUAAUAUCACUCAAGACAUAUUAUUGUGCAAGCUUAUUCAAAAAGAGAAUAAAAUAUUUGAUGGCAUCAUCAUGAAUAAAUGGAACAUUUCGUGUCAAAAAAGUAAAUCGAUUUAAUUCACUUGCAAAAGACAAAGUGAAACUCAUACCUUAGCUCGCACAUCCUGUCUGUUGCGAUAAUGAUGCCUCGAUUUAUCCUCAGACCGAUAUCGUUUGUCAAGUUUCUUGUACAGUCUCGCACCACUUGUGUGCUUUUUGGAUGAAAUACAUGAUGGUGAAUCAGCGAACCCCGCCGGAGCUGGUACUAUAUCUGGAGUAGCAUCUGCGUACGAUUCCUGAAAUAUACUUAACUGUAGCUAUCCA